GAUGAACGCUGGCGGCGUGCCUAAUACAUGCAAGUCGAGCGAACAGACGAGGAGCUUGCUCCUCUGACGUUAGCGGCGGACGGGUGAGUAACACGUGGAUAACCUACUUCUAAGACUGGGAUAACUUCGGGAAACCGGAGCUACUACCGGAUAAUAUAUUGAACCGCAUGGUUCAAUAGUGAAAGACGGCUUUGCUGUCACUUAUAGAUGGAUCCGCGCCGCAUUAGCUAGUUGGUAAGGUAACGGCUUACCAAGGCAACGAUGCGUAGCCGACCUGAGAGGGUGAUCGGCCACACUGGAACUGAGACACGGUCCAGACUCCUACGGGAGGCAGCAGUAGGGAAUCUUCCGCAAUGGGCGAAAGCUUGACGGAGCAACGCCGCGUGAGUGAUGAAGGUCUUCGGAUCGUAAAACUCUGUUAUUAGGGAAGAACAAAUGUAUAAGUAACUAUGCACGUCUUGACGGUACCUAAUCAGAAAGCCACGGCUAACUACGUG
rnacentral:rRNA from 1 species